rnacentral:rRNA from 1 species
ACUGCUCAGUACACGUAACUAACUGCCUGGGUCUGGAAUAAUCCCGGGAAACUGGGGCUAACGCGGAUAGAUAUGGUAUGCUGGAAUGCUUCCAUGUCCAAUCCAAGGAUGGGGCUGCGGCCGAUUAGGUUGUUGCCAGAGUAAAAUCCCUUUACGAGACUGGCUUAAGCUCGCAGAAGGUUACAAUCCUGGCAAGCCGAUAAUCGGUACGGGCCUUGAGAGAGGAAGCCCGGAGAUGGAUUCUGAGACAAGAAUACAGGUCGUACGGGACGCAGCAGGCGCGAAAAUUUCGCAAUGCACGCAAGUGUGACGAAGGAAUUCAGAGUGCUUUCUCGCUUUGAGGAAGCUUUUGCCAAGUCCAAAAUGGCGUCUGAAGCUGUGAAGCAGCUUCUUUCCCUUGGCGAGCUUGGCGAAUAAGUGGUGGGUAAGACUGGUGCCAGCCGCCGCGGUAAUACCAGCGCCACGAGUGGUAACCACGUUUAUUGGGCUUAAAGCGUUCGUAGUCGGUUUGGAAAGUUUCUAAUGAAAUCCUGCAGCUGACUGCAGGGCUUGUUAGAAAUACUUCCAGGCUUGGGACCGGGAGAGGUCGAGGGUAUUAUUGGGGUAGGGGUAAAACACUCUGCUUGCGGCAGGCGUCGCAAGCAAAGCUUGCAAUCCUAUAAUCCCAAUAAGACCACCUGAUGACUUUUGCCGCCUUUGGUGGCAAUAGCCAGGUGAAUGGCGAAGGCGCUCGACUAGAACGGAUCCGACGGUGAGGGACGAAAGCUAGGGGAGCAAAGCGGAUUAGAUACCCGCGUAGUCCUAGCCGUAAACGAUGCCUGCUAGACAUUGGAUAUCUUACGGGGGUGUCCAGAGUCGUAGGGAAACCAUUAAGCAGGCCGCCUGGGGAGUACGGUCGCAAGGCUGAAACUUAAAGGAAUUGGCGGGGGAG